rfam:Chaetura pelagica isolate M959 contig1927, whole genome shotgun sequence.
UGUUUUUUAUCCCUUAUUAAAGACUCAAAAAACAAUCGUAUUUUCAAAUCACAUUCUGCACAGCCAGUGAUGUAUCUGUGCUUGAUGCCACUAUUCUUCACAAAAUAGGAUAAUAAUGUUAUCUGUUAACAUAAAAGCAAAGUUUGACUCCAUAGAAGCAGCUGGAAGUGGAUAACCACAAUAUGCUUAAAUCUCUUAGGAGCACACAGUUUGACAUAUACUGUUAAAACUUCCUUGUAUUUAAGGAUUCUCUUAAGCAAAAUGCUUGUCCUGAGUCUCAGCUGGUGUGCAUAAAGAAAUAUUCAUUUCCCUGUGGUAACAUGAAAUUUUAUUUUUUUACCUUUUUUAUAUGUAUUUAAUGGAUUGAAACACUUUGAAGG